rnacentral:misc_RNA from 1 species
GGUGCAUAUACCCUCCUCUUCACACUGAGGUCAUUCAUCGACACACACACGCACAGAGAAACACAGGCGCACAUGCAGCGGGCGGUGCGCCUGCAUGCAUACUCAGGCGCAUCUUCCUCGUUCGUCUCUUUUUUGUGCCGCCUCUCGGGGACUUUGGCAAGCUAUGGAGUGCCGCUGUCAGCUCUCUCUCUCUGUGCUGUUUUUCGCUCCUUGUCUUCAUGUCAUGAACGCGGUGUGCUCUUGAGCGCCACGGCCUACACUAAUUUCUACCACCACCGUCGUUGUCUCUGUCACGCCAGUCUCUCUCUUCUUUGCGUACGCCAGAAAUGUCUGUGCAUCUAUGGGCGGUGCUCGUCUCUGGGCGCGUGUGCGUGCGCGAGCGUGUAUGCCACGCGCAGCAAGGUGAAGGCACCAGUCGGCUGUCAACGGGCUCUUUCACAUCUCCCUCAUCUUAUUUUUUCGCUUUCUGAGGCCACUUCUCCUUCAUUUCGCCCCGCUCGCUUUCUUUAUCGCGCGCGUACACACACACACACACACACACACACCGACUGUUGGCGUGUGUUUGUGUGCACAGUUCUCCUUGCCCCCCUUCCCUCGUCGUUGUCUUUGGCCGGGGCUCUCCAGUUUUUUCUCCGUCGGGGUUGCAGACGAACCGCAACAUGAACGCAAAGGAAACAAAGAAGUGCGCAGCACAUCACCUGUUUUUCAUUCUCGGGCACAGCGGGGCGGCGGCGGCGGUCACACUACUACCCCUUGUGUCCUGUAUCGUAGUACUCGUUCACUGCACCCCUCGAAUGAGAUAAUGACGGGUGGUGAGAGCAGCACUGCGCUCACUCGCUUUCUCCUCUUAUCCCCGGUCUUUGUGUCUCGGAGCGCGAGAGGGAGCUCUUCCAAUGCGAUGCAUGUCGCGAAGUCGAUCGCUGCGCGCCCGAAAAGGUGGGCUUGUAUUGAGCUGCCCAUAAGUGACAACGAGGUCGUGUGCCCCCUUCUCUUCUCGUGGUGUAUCUCCGCGGCAUGCACUCUGUCCCGCCACUUCCGUACUCUGCUUGGCUGUUUCCCUGCUUCUCUCUCUCUGUGUGCGCCUCUUUUCUCUCCUAUCUCACUCUUUCUCUCUCCCCGCCUGCGCGUACGGAG